CAGUCGAACGAAGCUUCUUUAUCACCGAGUGCCUGCACUCACCGAUAAAGAGUUGAGUGGCGAACGGGUGAGUAACACGUGGGCAACCUGCCCAAAAGAGGGGGAUAACACUUGGAAACAGGUGCUAAUACCGCAUAACCAUAGUUACCGCAUGGUAACUAUGUAAAAGGUGGCUAUGCUACCGCUUUUGGAUGGGCCCGCGACGCAUUAGCUAGUUGGUGGGGUAAAGGCUUACCAAGGCAAUGAUGCGUAGCCGAACUGAGAGGUUGAUCGGCCACAUUGGGACUGAGACACGGCCCAAACUCCUACGGGAGGCAGCAGUAGGGAAUCUUCCACAAUGGGCGAAAGCCUGAUGGAGCAACGCCGCGUGGGUGAAGAAGGUCUUCGGAUCGUAAAACCCUGUUGUUAGAGAAGAAAGUGCGUGAGAGUAACUGUUCACGUUUCGACGGUAUCUAACCAGAAAGCCACGGCUAACUACGUGCCAGCAGCCGCGGUAAUACGUAGGUGGCAAGCGUUAUCCGGAUUUAUUGGGCGUAAAGAGAACGCAGGCGGUCUUUUAAGUCUGAUGUGAAAGCCUUCGGCUUAACCGGAGUAGUGCAUUGGAAACUGGGAGACUUGAGUGCAGAAGAGGAGAGUGGAACUCCAUGUGUAGCGGUGAAAUGCGUAGAUAUAUGGAAGAACACCAGUGGCGAAAGCGGCUCUCUGGUCUGUAACUGACGCUGAGGUUCGAAAGCGUGGGUAGCAAACAGGA
rnacentral:rRNA from 1 species